GGGCCCGCACAAGCAGUGGAGUAUGUGGUUUAAUUCGAAGCAACGCGAAGAACCUUACCAGGUCUUGACAUCCAACUAACGAGGCAGAGAUGCGUCAGGUGCCCUUCGGGGAAAGUUGAGACAGGUGGUGCAUGGUUGUCGUCAGCUCGUGUCGUGAGAUGUUGGGUUAAGUCCCGCAACGAGCGCAACCCCUGCCGAUAGUUGCUACGCAAGAGCACUCUAUCGGGACCGCUACCGACAAGGUGGAGGAAGGUGGGGACGACGUCAAAUCAUCAUGCCCUUUAUGACCUGGGCUACACACGUACUACAAUGGCCGUUAACAACGGGAAGCCAAGCCGCGAGGCGGAGCCAAUCCCCAAAAACGGUCUCAGUUCAGAUUGCAGGCUGCAACCCGCCUGUAUGAAGUCGGAAUUGCUAGUAAUCGCGGAUCAGCAUGCCG
rnacentral:rRNA from 1 species